rnacentral:lncRNA from 1 species
AUGGGGCUCAAUAUGGGAUUUCUAUGGGGCAGAAUAUGGGGUCCAUGGGGCAGGGAUCCCAGCCCCACAUCUCUGGGUCCCACCCCACAUCUCCCCAUGGAUCCCAGCCCCACACAUAUGGGUCCCAGCCCACAUCACCCCAUAGAUCCCAGCCCCACACUUGUGGGUCCCACCCCACAUCUAUGGGUCCCACCUGAGAUCUGUGGGUCCCACCUCACCCCAUGGAUCCCAGCCCCACAUCUGUGGGUCCCACACAUUCCCAGUCUCAGUCUCAGUCUCUUUAUUUCCGAUCUAUGGGGCUCGUUCUGCCCCAUAAGUGUAGGCUUUAUUUCCGAUCUAUGGGGCUCGUUCUGCCCCAUAAGUAAGUGUGGGGCUCAGGACCCCACCUCACGCCCCGCGGGGCCGCUGGGACGGCGGUUGUGGGGCUGACGUGGGGGGCUGGGGGCUGCCCCACAGCAUGGGGGGACUGCGCCGUGGGGCGCAGUGGGGCUGGAGCUAUGGGGCACAGCAGCCCCACUGCUAUGGGGCACAGCAGCCCCACU